AUGCAUGCAGGGGAUCAAUAUUUUGCUUCAAAGUUCUAUGAAGAGUUUGUGGCUCAUGCCUCAUUACAUUUAGAAGAAGAAAAUCUUGUCAUCUUUAGGUGGGCGCUAGCAUUUUGCAGAAGUUAUACCUUCGAGAUUCAUUCUCAAAUAAAAUUCAGAAGUGCAAAAACAGAUCUAACAGUAGUCACAGUACAACUCCAGCAUCCUCUUUUGUUAACUUGCCGUUGUUUUGAUGUAGAUUUGGCACCAGCCUCUCUAGCAGAAGGAAAAUCCAUGUCAAUAAUAGACUAUGAAAACUCAAAGUACAUACUAAAUGAAAUCCUUCUCAAGUGUGUUUCUGCUUCCACAGUAAUAAUAAAAAAUUCUAUUUAA
rnacentral:rRNA from 1 species